UAAUUUUUUUUUCUAUUCUAGGACAG
rnacentral:piRNA from 1 species